GGGAGGAGCUCGGGCCCGCAGGAGCCGACCCCCAGGAGUUAACAAGGCCAUUCCAAGGGCUGCAUUCCCAAAGGCUUCCCAAAUCGAGCCCACAUCGCUGCUGCGGCUGUAGUGUCCAGCCCCGAGCGGCCCCUAACCGGGGCAGCCACAGGCUGAGGUUGAUUGAGCUGGCAGACUGUACAAAGCCACAUCUUUAGAAGUGCUUGAGAAGAUAAUCUGAGCAAUAUAAUGCACAGUGUGCAAUGUGGACCCGGGGCAUCAAGGCACCACACUGCAGUCCCACGUGCUCUGUGCUUUUAUGCUAACUGAAACCAAGUCAAGGGAAGCUGAAUUCAAAAGGCAAACUGGUAAAACACACUGACUGGAAGCAGAUCUAAGAUUGGCACAGCACAUGCAAGGCUUUGCCUCCCAAGAACACAACCCUAUUGUGAUGCAUACAGUCAAAUAAGCCGCCUGCGUUCUACAUCAAAGCGUCAAAAUUAUGAUCAGUUCAGUGAGGAGAAAACGUGCAGGGUAUUCUUCUACUAAUGGAUUCUAAAAGAAGUUGAACACCGUUGUAGAUAUACUGCAGCUACCAAAAGAAUGCAAGUUAAUCAAAUAAAGUGUUCACUGGGAAUCAUUCGUG